rnacentral:rRNA from 1 species
CAGUCGAGCGGACAGAAGGGAGCUUGCUCCCGGAUGUUAGCGGCGGACGGGUGAGUAACACGUGGGUAACCUGCCUGUAAGACUGGGAUAACUCCGGGAAACCGGAGCUAAUACCGGAUAGUUCCUUGAACCGCAUGGUUCAAGGAUGAAAGACGGUUUCGGCUGUCACUUACAGAUGGACCCGCGGCGCAUUAGCUAGUUGGUGGGGUAAUGGCUCACCAAGGCGACGAUGCGUAGCCGACCUGAGAGGGUGAUCGGCCACACUGGGACUGAGACACGGCCCAGACUCCUACGGGAGGCAGCAGUAGGGAAUCUUCCGCAAUGGACGAAAGUCUGACGGAGCAACGCCGCGUGAGUGAUGAAGGUUUUCGGAUCGUAAAGCUCUGUUGUUAGGGAAGAACAAGUGCGAGAGUAACUGCUCGCACCUUGACGGUACCUAACCAGAAAGCCACGGCUAACUACGUGCCAGCAGCCGCGGUAAUACGUAGGUGGCAAGCGUUGUCCGGAAUUAUUGGGCGUAAAGGGCUCGCAGGCGGUUUCUUAAGUCUGAUGUGAAAGCCCCCGGCUCAACCGGGGAGGGUCAUUGGAAACUGGGAAACUUGAGUGCAGAAGAGGAGAGUGGAAUUCCACGUGUAGCGGUGAAAUGCGUAGAGAUGUGGAGGAACACCAGUGGCGAAGGCGACUCUCUGGUCUGUAACUGACGCUGAGGAGCGAAAGCGUGGGGAGCGAACAGGAUUAGAUACCCUGGUAGUCC